rnacentral:sRNA from 1 species
UUUCAUCACAAAAUAAGACUCUUUAAAGAAUCUUUAAAGAGUCUUAUUUUGUGAUGAAAAUUUAAUAUGUAAAUCUCAGACGAUAGAAAUUAAAACCUCUAUCGUCUGAGAU